UGCUGGUGGAGUCGAGGAGAGCGCGCAACGUUUAUGUUCUGGAUACACGAAGAACAGCACGAAAGAGGAUAUGCCAAAACUUAGUAAAGCUGCCGUUGUGAAGAAGUUUGGCUCGUCAUUUGCACUUGGCCUUAAAAAUCAUUUGAAGAACAAGGACGGCAGCAACCGUGCGAACGCUGACCAAGCAGCAACAGCGACAAGAACGAAAAGUUUAAGCAUAAGCUUUUAGCGUAAGCUCGAACUGCUCGCAAGUUAAGGCAAAAGCACGAUAUUUAUAUUUUGUUAUUGUUUUUGCUGGGAUACAAAAAAGCUUUAUUCUGUGCACUAAUUUUUGUUGAUGAAUUCAAAAACACGCGCGUGUGUGCAUGUGUGUGUUUAGUAAACAUCCAAUAGCGUACCUGUCAUUGUUUGGCUAAUUGUGAAUGAGUACAAAAUAGCUACAUAAUAAUAAACUUGGUCACCGUAGUUGAA